rnacentral:rRNA from 1 species
GACGAACGCUGGCGGCGUGCCUAAUACAUGCAAGUCGAACGCAGUGGGGACGGGUGAGUAACACGUGGGUAACCUCCCAUCAGAGGGGAUAACACUUGGAAACAGGUGCUAAACCGAUACUGAUGGAUGGACCCGCGGUGCAUUAGCUAGUUGGUGAGGUAACGGCUCACCAAGGCCACGAUGCAUAGCCGACCUGAGAGGGUGAUCGGCCACACUGGGACUGAGACACGGCCCAGACUCCUACGGGAGGCAGCAGUGGGGAAUAUUCGGCAAUGGACGAAAGUCUGACCGAGCAACGCCGCGUGAAUGAAGAAGGUUUUCGGGUCGUAAAGCUCUGUUAUUGGGGAAGCGGUAUCUGAACAGGAAGCAACGGCUAACUACGUGCCAGCAGCCGCGGUAAUUC